CCCUGGAGUUUGAAUUCUCAGAAGUAAGGUGUCAGAUUCCAACCCUUUCAUAUCCCCCAGGGCCACAAUUUUAGAGACAAAAUAUGCUUAGCUUCUGGGGUAGAUGUGAGAUUUAGCCACGGUUCAGUGCGUUUGAACACGCAUGCCUAUACGUCGCUGUGGCCUGGCUUCCUCUGAAGAGGAUCUCACCUUAGCUCCCAGAGGUGAGUUAACUGGACGUAAAACAGACAGGUGCAAGAAGACAGUCAUUCAUGGCGGCAUGAAAAUACAUUUUGUCUAACGUCACCUUUAAGUCAUGACAGAAUAUGAGAGGAAAUCAGAGGGACCAUGCUGUCGUCCUGGGUGCAAAAUAAAAGUCGAGUUUCGUGGGUCCUGGCCAUUUCUAGGACCAGUUAUAUUUUUGAUGAAGCCACAUUGGAUGUUAAGUAAAGUACGCUCUUUGCCUGUUUCUGGGUAAUGGAUCUGGAGGGAUUGGAAUACAUUUUUUGUAUUUUUUCAAAAUAUUACAAUGGGCAUGAUAAUUUUUAGCAAGAAUCAGUGAAGUAAUUAAAAUAAAAACAUUUUAUGCUUUAUGCUUUUCUAGAAAUUGCCAUUUUGUUUGUCAACCCUGUGAUUUAAUAACUCAAUGCUUGAAUGCUGCUGCGUGAUAAUGAGGGAAAAAUGGGAAUAGGAGACAUGUUUGCCGUUGGGUGUGGAGUGCAAAAACACAAUUGUGAUUUGGCCAAAGAACAGCUCACUAGCAAAUAUCUACCUCCAGGGAAAACCGAGUUCACUUGCUCUAGCAAAGCUGGCUUCAUGGACUGAUGGGAAGAUUAAGUGGUUAAUUUCCAUAAAGUCUGGAAGAGUGCCUGGCGUAGCUUAGGCACAUCAAUCAAUGUAAGUUAUGCUUGUGGUUAUUAAAAUAUUGACAUAAAAAUGAGAGUAUGCAUUCAAUGUCCUCUUUAUUUUUAAUCUUUCGGUGUCUAAAAUAAUGACAUAUUGCCAGUAAUAAAUUCAGCAUGAACACUUACUACAGCCACUAUUUAAAUUCAUGAUAUCAGUUACAUAAAUAUUUUUGCGUUUUCACUUAGUACGGUCUUUUCAUUUACUAAAUACCUCUCUGGAAUUAUAUUUAUGAUUUGAUAUUUCUGUUAUGAGGAAGAAGUUGUGGAGGUCAGUGUAGGGCAGUUAAGAGAAGGACUCUGAGACAGAACACUGAUGAUAAGCCUGGGCCACCCAGGCAAGGAUUUUCCAUUACUUUUGGACCAGUCCACUGGCAAUAGCAUUGCUUUGGCAACUCUGAGGUGACAUCACUUUGUCUCUUGUUCUCUGGGUUUUCCUCUUGACAUUUAUUAGGGCAGUGGACUUCUGCUCGACAUCAUCUUGAAAGUCUAGGCUUGUUAUAUUGUGUCAUAAAUAAAUAUAACUGCUAUUUCCAGAAAACAGAGACACAGUCAGUUCAAAAUUAGAAAUUGAAUGGAAGCUCCAUGGAGAACCAGUGAGAUGUCGCCAUGAUGUAAAAUUUGGAAGGACAGAUCCAGCCACAGGGAGACAAAGUAUGUGUGAGAGCAAAGGAGCCGCUGGUUCCUGAAGUCAGGGUUGCAAUCUUUGGGGAAAUGUGUGGGUGGAUCCGGGCAAGGUGAUGGAACUGGGAGACCUGGCUAGGUGAGUGGGAGACUCUCUUAGAGCCGUGCAGUUUGAUGGAAGGGGGCGUGGGGCACGAGGCGGUGGACAGAGGGCAGGAUUGGGAGCACCUGGGGCUGCUACAUGGAAUGCUGGCUCUGUGCCAUCUACCACCUGUGACCGUUUUCCAUCUCUAAACCCAGAUCUGUCAUCUUGCAAGGCCCCUGUCACCAGCACAUGCCGCAAGGUCAUGGCCCCUGCCCUCCCGCAGAGGCUGAGAUGGAGAUGCAGAGCCCCCCGUCUGCUCAGAAGAAGGACGCAGAACAUGACUUGCUUUGAUGAUUUCCAAUAAACUUCCUCGCUGACUUUCCUCUCAUCUCUUCCCCUCCCUCCUUCAUUGUGUCCUUUCUCAGUUGAAAGCAGGAAAGGCAGGCAGGGAGGGGUCUUCAUGUGGGGCCCUGGGAGGUGGCCAGUCAGGGGUCAGGGAGGCAUUUGCUUUUGAGUUGGAGACUGAUGCUCACUGGAAAACUUGCCUUUGACUCUCGUCAGAACUCUUCACAGGGCUCCAGUGGGUGCGGGUGAAGGGGCCUCCUGGGGGAAAGUAAGGGAGCACAGAGCAAAUUACCCAAACACCACACCUGCAGAUGCACUCUAUCCCUCAGCCAGCCUCAUUCCUGCCCAAGGUAACAGAGCCAGCAGGUCCUCAUCACGGUGCCAUGGGGACGUCCGCUCUCCUGCCCACCCCCACGCAGGUGCUGUGUGUCCCAAGUCCACCCUCUUCACCCUGGGAUGAAAGAAAGGCAUGCAGGAAAUUCAAGGGGCCAGCUGGCUCUGAGGCAUCAUUGCUGGACACUGUUUUUAUAACAACCACUGAGCGAGAUGGUUGAACGCCGCAUGCACAGAACUCCACCGGCUGAAUGGUCUGUGGGCUGGGAUUUGCAUUCAAGUUCCAUUUCCUCACAGGAACGGGUGAACUGAGUUUCAUAAUCCAAGGCGACCUUCUCAAGGAAGCUAUUGCCUUUGGUGAGUAUCACCCUGAAAACAGUGCUGGGUGUUUGUCUCUCCUCUCUCGCUGCUUGGCUGGGCAAGUGCCCUUUGCCUAGAGGGAGGGAUCUGAGCCACACGGGGCUGUGAGGGACCCCAUCUCCAAAGGGCUCCAUUUACUGGGUUUUUAUACUUCUCAGAAUAUUGAUCAAACCAUAGAUUUUCUGUAGUCUCACAGCAAAGCCUGCAAUCCCACCGGCAACCGCGUGACAACCUCAAGCCAGUCACCUUUCCAGGCCCAACAACUGUCCUGUGAAUACAGGGUGCUCACGGGAACGGCUCCAUCAGCCCCGCACGCCAGUCAGUGCCAUCUCCAAAUGGUCAUUUGGUCUCAAGUUUAGCUUCUGUCUUAAUGUCUAUGGUUUUGGCUGAAGUCAUAUGGUGUUAUUGAAGCCGAGAACAAAAUCAGCAGAUUUCAUCUGACAUUAUUGCAUAUGGGUUCAUGAGGUUUUGUGGUUUCUUCAUCAAACAUGUAGUUAAAUGUUAUGAAACGGAACCAUAACAACCUUGUCCAGGAAAAAUCUAUGUGUCUAUUGAGGCACCAAAUGUGCUUUCAAGCUGAAUGGUUGGCAGGGCUGGAGAAGAUUAGCCUAGAGUUUAGUAAACCUGCCCAGGUGAACCACUGAAUCUUGCAAUUAAGUUGCUUCUAAUGACUUCACAUUUGGGAACAAAAAUAAACUUUAAAAAGAGAACUAGUACAAAAAAAACAGUGUCCUUCUGACUAUUCUAACGCCCCAGAGGUCAGAUGUUGAAUUGCAGCUUUGACCAAUUUCCAUGGGAGAAUUGCACAUUUAAAAAAAUAAACUUUUCUUCAAAGCUAGUGAGGCAGAGGGAGACACCUUCAUCUCCCUCCCGCCCUUCUUAGCUCCUCCAGGGCUGGCCAUCCUGUCUGCAACGCGGAUUCUUCUGCAUUUACACAUGUGAUAUUUACAGUGAAUGAAAGCUUUAUACUCAUUAUUCAUAAUAAUAAUAUCAAGUGCCUCUUAGUUCCAGGAACUGUUUCUCUUCAUUGCCCCCCUCUUUAAGUUAACAUGCAGGGAAAGAAAGAAAGAAAAGAAAAAGAAAAAGAUUUCUACCAGAUACGAAGCUACAGUGAGAAGGGUUCUGCCAGCAGCCACGUUCCUCAGCCCAACUCAUUAAUUCUGUGCCCCUGAGUCACAGCCGCCGGACAGAGCAGAAUCUCUCCCUGGAGGCAUUUCUAUGCCAGUGAGAAGGACAGUGGCACCAAACACGCAGAGUGCACAGUCACUGGUGAAGGUGACACUCACCAGAGGUUUGUGGCCUUUGCACCUGGAAGAUCAGAGCUUCUCUCUCUGAGAUGAGCUGACACAGCAUGCCAGGCAGAGACAGCCUCGGAAGUCUGGAGGUCCUGAGACUCCCCUGGAAGGAGGACACAGAAAUGAGGUGCACUCACCCUCCUGGGGCCAGGUUGCACGCACAAGCUGGAGACUCCAACCUCACGGAGCUGCCCCUCCAGUGGAAAGAGGCAGGAGCCACACCACCCACAGGUGGAUAAGUAAUCUCGGAUAGCGCCAGGGGCUGCAAUGGAAAUUAAAAUGGAAACAGGACCAGCAGCCAUGGGGCUGGGCAGCCCAGUGUUUUUAGGCAGAGGGGUGAGGAGGCAGCCUGGGGCUGAUGCCUGGAUCUGAAGAAGGAGUGAGCUGUGUGAGAUUUAGAGAGUCAUGCCAAGUGGAGGGAACAGCAGACUCAG
rnacentral:lncRNA from 1 species